ACUUAGGUAAUUUAAAAAAAAUGCUGGUCUGUGGAUCCAGAUAUGCGUAAUUCGCCCUUAGUA
rnacentral:tRNA from 1 species